UACGGAGGGUGCAAGCGUUGUUCGGAAUCAUUGGGCGUAAAGCGCGCGCAGGCGGACUGUUAAGUCUGAUGUGAAAUCCCUCGGCUCAACCGGGGAACUGCAUUGGAUACUGGCAGCCUUGAGUCUCGGAGAGGAAAGCGGAAUUCCCAGUGUAGAGGUGAAAUUCGUAGAUAUUGGGAGGAACACCAGCGGCGAAGGCGGCUUUCUGGACGAUGACUGACGCUGAGGCGCGAAAGCAUGGGUAGCAAACAGG
rnacentral:rRNA from 1 species